CUCUUACCAUCGCGAACUCCUGGCUGCCCUCGGGCGACUACCUUCCACAACUUCCCAGUUUGUUUCAUCACAUUCAGCAUAAUCAUGACGGAAUUGGACCACGGAUAUUUUUCAAGAAUAUGCUUUGAUCGCCCGGUCCAUGCCAAAUGAUAUAAUCACCCAAGAUCCUACUCCUAAGUCGCUACACGCGGUCUUCUAUGAGCUAUCUCCCCAAUUGUGGCCCAUCUUAGAGAAGGACAGCGUCC